rnacentral:rRNA from 1 species
CAGUAGCGUAUAUUAAAGUUGUUGCAGUUAAAAAGCUCGUAGUUGGAUUUCUGUGAGAGCAAUUAAUCCUGACCGCCACUGUCGUGGUUUGCGUCGGGGUUUGCCUCGCAUCCAUUCAGGUGCGCUGUCUUGAUUAACGUCAGGGCGGAUCUCGUGCUUGAAUCUUUUACUUUGAAAAAAUUAGAGUGUUUAAGGCAGGCAAUAGCAGCAAUGAAUACAUUAGCAUGGAAUAAUAAUUUAGGACUUCUGUUCUAUUUUGUUGGUUUCUAGGGUGGAAGUAAUGAUUGAUAGGGAUAGUUGGGGGUGCUAGUAUUCAAUGGCCAGAGGUGAAAUUCUUGGAUUCAUUGAAGACUAACUUAUGCGAAAGCAUUCACCAAGGAUGUCCUCUUUAA